UCGUUUUUGAAAAGGAUCAAAUGGACAAGGAUGGAAGAGGUCCUAGUGACUUUUACAAUACAUGUACCAUCAAGGCAUUGCCACCUAUUCUGUGGCAUCUAAGUCACAUAAUAAA
rnacentral:ncRNA from 1 species